AUAUUUUUAGGUAGGAAUAAAUGUCCCAAUUCCUGUUCCAUUACCCAUGUUUUCAUUUACUGGUUCAAGAGGAUCGUUUCUUGGUGACACAAAUUUUUAUGGAAAAGCAGGUUUGAAUUUUUACACCCAACUUAAAACUGUGACGCAAUUAUGGAGAGAGCAGGAUGCUGGUCACACCAAAGCUGCCACUGCUAUGCCAGUGAUGAGAUAAAAAUACAACAAAACAUUCACUGUUUACCCUAGUCUUCCUCAUUCCAGGCAAACAAAGUGAUAAUUAUCAGAAGAGAUUAUGAAAUCACAAAUUUUCUGCAAAUAUUUCAUUGUCUCUAUUGCACUAUAUGGAAAUAAAUUAUAUAUAUUUUUAGGGUUUGUUAUAAUUUUAA